AGGGGGUGCGCGGACCACGGGGGCCGGCUGCUCCCCGCUGCGGCUCUGAGCUGGGGGUCGGCAGUGCGGGCGGGGGCAGAGGCGCGCGCGGUUUGUGCGCCUGCCGCGGGCUGCCUUUCUCGAGCUGGGGUUUAGUCGCUCCGUAAGUCUGCCUGUCUCGGAGUCCGCAGCUAGUGGCCCAGUCGGUUGCCUCUGCCUCCUGUUGCAGGUCUGUUUCUGGCUCUUUGCCCUCUUGGGUCCUCGCGCCCCCCCAACACAGACGCGCAGUCUGGAGUGUAUAUGACUGAAGAAAACACCAUGUUGAGCCAAGAGGAAGCUGUGGGUAUCAGAAUAAAGUGAGCUUGCUCUGGAAAAAUACACCGCCUAGUUGUAUCUGGGGCCUAGUUGGUCUGGAGAGUUUGACAUUCUGGAGAAUCCUGAGUUACCUCCUCGAGCACCCAUAAUUGAAUUGAUGGCUCCAGUAAUCUACCUUCAAGAUGAAGCCAAUACCUGGGAAGAUAAGGAAGAAAAAUGGGAAGAAGCUCUUUGGUGACACUAUUGGGGCCUCUGGGCCAACACUUGCUUCGUGUCUGAGCUUCAUUUUCAGUUUAUAUGAGUCAAUGUAUUAUUUUCAUUCUGUAAGACUAGUUAGGAUUUGGUCCCUUGUGGUAAAAAGCACCCUAAUGAAAAUAUUUCCUAUUUGAGAUAAUUUAAGCAUCUGACUUUUGAUAAAGUUUUGUCAUCUCUAAUGAAAACCAAAGUUCUAGGCCACACUAGAACCAGAAAACCAAGUCCACAGAACUCCAGAUUUACAAAAGAAUAAAUUAUUACAUUUUAAAGGAGUUUCACAAUUUUUAUAGGAGGUUAACUAUAUGAGCCAGUUUCACUAUUUAGUUUCUGCAGUAAAUUAAAAUGUGACUCACUUAAUAUAUACCUUUUAAGGAACAUAUCAGUUGUGUUAAGUGGAAGCAAGCCUGUUCUGGACAUCUGGGGGUAUUUAACGUCAUCUGUCUAUGAAACAUCUGAGGGUCUAAUAGUAAGCAGCCUUUUGUGUCAAAUAUUUAAGAUGCCUUCUGGAGUUAGUUUGAAGCUUGCAAAGACUAUGAGAUUUGUAGUUAGACAUAUCUUGUCAAGCAAAUAAGAGCAAAUGACCAGGCAGCGCGGACAUUGUUUUUGAGGAACAUAUUAUGUGGUGAAUUCCUGGGGAGCUGUAGCAGGUGCAUAAUAACUCUGUGGUUCAUCAUGUACUAUGACGGCACAGUGACCUUCUCCCCUGAACUUUAGGACUUCUGAGAAAGAUAACCGUAUGUCCCUGUUUUCCCAGAUAGUUCCAGUUUACAUUGUCAUAAUUAUUAAUAACACUCUCUACCAGUUUCUGCUUAUAAGCUGCAUCAUUGAGGAAUACCAGCACAUAGUGACACACAGAUCAAAUUAAAAUUGAGGAACAAAAUAGUAGAGGAAGGAGGGACUGGACUGGCAUCUGGAAAACCAGGAGAGAGACUGUAGUGAUAAUUAUGUAGGGAGAACUUUUGUACUAAGUAUCUCAUAAACAAAAUGGGAUUUAUUGUUUGGCAGUGUUAAGGGGAUGUGAUGAAUGCUUUCUAAAAAUUGUAAGCAUAAAACAAAUACUAAAAUAAAUUAAAAAAAAAAAAACCUCAGUGACAA